rnacentral:rRNA from 1 species
AUUGAACGCUGGCGGCAGGCCUAACACAUGCAAGUCGAGCGAGCGUCGGACGGGGGAGUAAUGUAUGGGGACUGCCCGAUAGAGGGGGAUAUCUACUGUAAACGGUGGCUAAUAUCGCAUACUGCCGCAUAACCCAUAUGGGAGUAGCUAGUAGGUAAGGUAAUGGCUUACCUAGGCGACGAGCCCUAGCUGGUCUGAGAGGAUGAUCAGCCACACUGGAACUGAGACACGGCCCAGACUCCUACGGAGGCAGCAGUGGGGAAUAUUGCACAAUGGGCGCAAGCCUGAUGCAGCCAUGCCGCGUGUAUGAAGAAGGCCCUAGGGUUGUAAAGUACUUUCAGUCGGGAGGCGUUACCGACAGAAGAAGCACCGGCUAACUCCGUGCCAGCAGCCGCGGUAAUAC